ACACUCCUACGGGAGGCAGCAGUGGGGAAUUUUGGACAAUGGGCGAAAGCCUGAUCCAGCAAUGCCGCGUGAGUGAAGAAGGCCUUCGGGUUGUAAAGCUCUUUUGUCAGGGAAGAAACGGUGAGAGCUAAUAUCUUUUGCUAAUGACGGUACCUGAAGAAUAAGCACCGGCUAACUACGUGCCAGCAGCCGCGGUAAUACGUAGGGUGCAAGCGUUAAUCGGAAUUACUGGGCGUAAAGCGUGCGCAGGCGGUUUUGUAAGUCUGAUGUGAAAUCCCCGGGCUCAACCUGGGAAUUGCAUUGGAGACUGCAAGGCUAGAAUCUGGCAGAGGGGGGUAGAAUUCCACGUGUAGCAGUGAAAUGCGUAGAUAUGUGGAGGAACACCGAUGGCGAAGGCAGCCCCCUGGGUCAAGAUUGACGCUCAUGCACGAAAGCGUGGGGAGCAAACAGGAUUAGAAACCCGUGUAGUCCCA
rnacentral:rRNA from 1 species